AUUGAACGCUGGCGGAAUGCUUUACACAUGCAAGUCGAGCGGCAGCGCGGGGCAACCUGGCGGCGAGCGGCGAACGGGUGAGUAAUACAUCGGAACGUGCCCAGACGUGGGGGAUAACUACUCGAAGAGUGGCUAAUACCGCAUACGAUCUAAGGAUGAAAGCGGGGGAUCGCAAGACCUCGCGCGUUUGGAGCGGCCGAUGGCAGAUUAGGUAGUUGGUGGGGUAAAGGCUUACCAAGCCCGCGAUCUGUAGCUGGUCUGAGAGGAUGAUCAGCCACACUGGGACUGAGACACGGCCCAGACUCCUACGGGAGGCAGCAGUGGGGAAUUUUGGACAAUGGGCGAAAGCCUGAUCCAGCCAUUCCGCGUGCAGGAUGAAGGCCCUCGGGUUGUAAACUGCUUUGUACAGAACGAAAAAGCUCUUUCUAAUACAGAGAGUCCAUGACGGUACUGUAAGAAUAAGCACCGGCUAACUACGUGCCAGCAGCCGCGGUAAUC
rnacentral:rRNA from 1 species